rnacentral:tRNA from 1 species
GGGGAUUUAGCUCAGCUGCAUAAGCACCUGCUUUACAAGCAGGUGGUUAAGUUCAAUCCCCG